GCGUGGCGUGGGGCCGCGGCCUUCGGGGCGCUUUGGAGCGCGCGAGGUCCGAGCGGCGUCGGAGCAGGAAGGAGGUCCGGCCAGGCCUGCGUAGCGCGGGCCACCACUGCUCCCCGGCGGCCGGCCGCGGCGCUGCAGCCAGGGAGGGAGCGCCUCCGGCCGUCCAGCUCGGACCGUCCAGCUCGAACCCUAACCCGUCCAGCUCCCUUCGUCCUCCGGGGACCGUCCUGCGUGGCCACCGGUCUGCAGCCCCGGCGGAGCGUGGUGGCCGGAAAGGAGAGGCCCCACUCGGUGCUGCGCGUCCUCAGAAGUUUGAGGGUUAUCGUAGGGUUAUUCGGCAAAACGAGCUUCCAAGUUACUUUAUCCCGCGCUGGUCCUCCUGUGAGCUUGGCUCGGAAUACGCUGCACUUCGGCUUAGCCGACACCGUCACCCUGGAGGGUCUCCAUCCCAGGAACAAGGAAGUCCCACGCAGAGCCAGGAAAGGGACGUCAUGAUGUCACAAUGUCAUCGUGGUGUAGACGCGCCAGAGCAUGGGGUACACCUCCAGACGCGCUUGCCGCAGCAGGACCAGCACCUACAACGGGCGGGACCUCUCUGAGUGCAGGGUCUCUGCGGGGUGGCCUGAAGUUGCUGACGCCAGGAUGUGCCCGAUGAACAGCUCGAGCCAGCCGUUGGACGGGAAUUGUGGAUGGAGCAGGCAGGACGGUUGCCUCUGCUCAGAAGGGGCCCCUGGCCUGGCCCUGUGCGCACCCCCCUCAGAGAGGAGCACAGACCCCAGGUCACGCUGGGCUCAGAUCUCCGACUCCUGCCCCGCGAGCCGGUUUUCAGGCGGAACACACAUCCCGGGUGGGGACUCCCACGUGGCAGCCCCACGGGGAGUCGGGAGACAGUGGUCCCUCUGUAGCCGUGCCACCCAGGGGACCUGCUGCCCCAGCACAUGCCCCGCCCGUCUCCUGCCCGCUCCGAUGGGCCCUGGGAAAGAGCCUCUGGGUAACCCGUGCUGUCCCGGCCAGCAGCCCCAGUCGUCCGCUGAGUGGAGGGCAGGAAA